AAGUUGUCACAAAAUGGAUGUUCAAAUAUCAUUUCUCUUAAAAAAAUGUUUUUUCAACACAAAUAAUACAAAACAACUUGACGAGUCGGAAUAUAUAGUGUGUAGAUGGUAGACGUGAUUCAAUUUUUAUUUUUUUGUGAAAACCGUUUUUAUUGCAUUAUGAUGUGAAAUCAAUCUAACUCAAAAAUCAAUUUUAAACAAAAACUAACUCAAAUUUACCGUAUCAGUUUAAGUUAACAAUUUCUUCUUUCUACUCAGAGGAAGGUAAAACAACUUAAUUCGAAGAGGAGUAAUUUCAUCUGAUUUGGUUUUGUGCUUGGGCGGGUGCGGAAAAGAGGACGCAAUCAAUCAUCUGUUUUUGAAGUGUGACUUCUUUGGUGGUGUGGUAGGCCUUUCUUUGGGCCAUAUGGAAGGAGCGGAACUCGAAAAUUUUCAGCGACAACGUGUCUUCUAAGGAUCAACUUCUCGAUAGUAUUAAGCUUCAUUCUUGGUGGUGGCUAAAGACGCAUAUAUCAGGUUUCUCUUUUGAUUUUAUUAUUGGUGGUUUAUGUCGUCUCUUGGUAUAGGUUACACCAGUUUGUAAUUGUGGUUUAUGUAUUAGUAAAUGGUUGACAAAUUUUAUUUUAUUUUAGAGAGGAAAGGCUGCUUUUUUCAUACAUAUAAUAAAUAGGGCUAAGAUGGACACACCUCCCCCUGUAACAAACAUAUUUAUCUGAGCAUCAAUGGUAUAAUAACUAAAACAACA